GAGAAACGUGAGGAAGGCUGUUGGUGACUCACCCCCUGGAAGUGAGCAGAGGAACUUCAUCAAGCUGACUAGGUUAGCUGGCCAGUGUGCUCCAAGGAUCUCUUUGUCAUCUUGUCACUGUUGGGGUUACAGGAACUAGAAUGUCUCACCUAAAAAGCUCUUCUGGUUCAAGACCUGUUUGUGAAUGCAUAUGAUUGUACCUUGAUCUCACUCAGCAAACACUGCUCCAAAGCUCAUUGGCUUUCCCAACUUCUCCUCUCCUUGAUGGACCCUUUCCUCCUCUCAAGUCAUCUUCAUGCUAUCGUAUACUCCAGACUUGCCUCAAAUUCACUGUGUGGUUUGAUUAUGACUGUGAAAAUCUCAUCUCUUAUUUUUUGUUGGAGCCAUUUUCUUCCAUUGUCAUUCUGUCCUCUACUUUUCAGAAGGUAAAACACUAAAGAAGGCCAGAUGGAAGUAUUCAAGAAUUCCCUGAAUACAUCAUAUUCAGCAGAUCAAGAAACUAGUGCGUCAGGAUGGAGAGAAGACUACACCCAAGACCCUUUAUUCAGUCUGCUUUCCACGUUGCUGCCAAGAGCCCAUAUGUGAAACCUGCUUCCUCUAGGAUGCUCCUGACCAACCAUAGUUGUCUUAGCUGAGCUGUUUCAACUUCCUCUGUCCCAUGUAUACAUAUGGUCUCUAGGGGCCAGGGACAGAUAGGUGCAGCUUACCAAAGGCUCUCUGCCUGAAGAUUGAUCAGACCAGGCUGGAGUCAAUGUUGCAGCGAAACUGCUGAGAGAAUACAGAUGCCAUUAGGGACAUGCUGUUCCAUAGCAGGAGAGGAAAGGGGUUCCACACUCUCACUUGUUUAAUAAACAUGGUGCAGAAAGUGCCCCCUCUUGUUGGGAGCAACAAACUUCUCUGGAUAAAUCCACAGGGAUAAUUUGGGGAAGGUUAGUACAUGGACACCCUCCUUCUAGAAGCCCAGUUCUUGUGCUAAACUUACUUUUCUGAGGUUAUAUUUUCCAGGGCCUUCUAAGCAUCUCCAUGAGAAAACACCCAAAGGAAUCUAUUGCCAAGAUGGUAAGAUGCUUACAGACCCAUCGCCCACUCCACAUACACAUAAUGAAUUGGGCUGGCCCUUGAAGUCCUGGGGCAUCAGGGCUCCUAGUGUUUCUAAGACACAGUCACCUUGUGAUGAUUCCUAUUGAGUGUCCACUUGACAGGGUCGAGAAUCAUCUACAAGAUAAACUUCCAGGCUUACAUGUUAGGGUGUUUCUGGACUGGAGAAAUGAAGGUGCGAAGACUCAUUCUAAACACGGGUAGAUCAUCCCGUGGGCUGAGGUUCUGGAUUGAAGGAAAAGGAGAAAGACAACUUAGUAGAAGCAUUCAGCUUCCCCACUUCCUGACUGUGGACACAAUGUGACCAGCUGCCUAAUUCUCCUGGUUGCCAUGCCUUCUAUGAAUUGUACCCUCAACCUAUAAAUAAACCCUGCCUCCCU
rnacentral:lncRNA from 1 species